UCAACACACUCGAGGAAAAUAGACACAACACCUCCAUCAGAACCGCCUCAGAGUAAAACAACAAACUCUCCACCUGCAUCAUCCUCAACAACACUGGAACAAGAUAAACAGCAAACACACAGCAGCCUCCCUCUAGUUUUUGGCAUUCUGGGAGUUUUACUGCUGGUGAUAUCCGGUGUAGUGGCAUUUAUUUGUUGGAGACGCAAAGGAGGAAGAUGUGGAGAGAACGUGAUUACUGAAGGACGUCUGGACUGUAAGAGAAAGCAGAAGGAUCGGACUGAACCUGAUGUUACUUACUCUACUGUAACCCACGUGAACACAGGCGGAGCAGCACGGGUCCAGAUCAACGCUGGAAACAACACUGAAAAUGCCAGCAUUCUCACAACCUAACCACAGUAAAUAUCUAGAAUAAUACUGAAUACAUACAGUAUAUUAAAUACACACCAUGGUAAGCACAGGAUUUACAGUAUUGGCUUUGUUUAUUUUAAUGUGACUCUUUUUUUUUUUUACCAUUAUUAGCAGAUUUAAUCACAUUUGUGUGCUGAUGGAUAAUCCUGCAAAUUAUAUUUUGUGUGUUUGUGUCAUUUUAUAUCUUUUGUGUACCAUACUUAUAUCAUUCUUUAAAAAAAAAAAUGUUCUAGAAGGCUUUUGUCAUCACCCUGUUUGCGUAAGGCGAUUGCUGUAGAAGUUCUUGUUUGUGUCUGUCAUGAGAAAGUCUCUCUGGACUGAAUGUGUGCUUCUAAACUAGUUGUGGUGAAAUUGUGUAGUUGUAAUGUAAUUGUGAAAACCUUAUAACAUGUUAAAGGGUGCAUGAUAGUGUGCUUGUUGAGUGUGGAGUAUCACACAGUAUUCUGUGCAUGGUAUAUCUUUGUUUAACUUUGAGAAAGAAGAAGUAGCCAUUUUCCCAUCAGUCCCCACUGCCCUGGCCACAGUCUUGGAGGCGGAGCUUAGCCUGCCUUUUAUCUAGCUGCCAGUGCAGACCAGUGUUACCAAUUUAGUGACUUUUAAGACCCCUUUAGUGACUAACGACCCCUACCGACCCCUAACUAAAUCUAGCGACUUUUUGGACAAACCUUAGCAACUUUCCAAAUGUCACCAGUACUGUCCUACAAGCGCGAGGUCUUUAUUUCCUGCUGCACUCUCACCUCUCUCUAUGUCUGCUCUGUUCAGUGAGAGGCUGAGAGCCAGAGCAGCACAUCCUGUUGAUCGCAUGGCAGCUGACAUAGACGUGAAUGUAAAGCAAUUACAAAAAAGAAGCAAUUGCAGGUGUCCCACCGAUUGAUUUAACAAUGUCAUGAAUAAUGAGACGUGCCCUUCGUCCUAAUUACAUCACUCUUAUGUGAAUGUUUUUAGAACGUAAGAUGAAUGGAAUGCAACAUAUUUUACAUGUAAAAUAGUCCAUGUUAUUACAGUCUAGUUCUCUUGU